rnacentral:rRNA from 1 species
UACGUAGGGGGCAAGCGUUGUCCGGAAUCAUUGGGCGUAAAGCGCGUGUAGGCGGCCCGGAAAGUCUGGUGUGAAAUCUUGAGGCUCAACCUCAAGCUGUCACUGGAUACUGUCGGGCUUGAGUCCGGAAGAGGAGUGUGGAAUUCCUGGUGUAGCGGUGGAAUGCGCAGAUAUCAGGAGGAACACCAAUGGCGAAGGCAGCACUCUGGUACGUGACUGACGCUGAGACGCGAAAGCGUGGGGAGCAAACGGG